rnacentral:rRNA from 1 species
GAAUCCCACAGGCCGUAAACCCAAGGUUUCCAGGGGAAGGUUCGUCCGCCCUGGGUUAGUCGGGACCUAAGCUGAGGCCGAAAGGCGUAGGUGAUGGACAACAGGUUGAUAUUCCUGUACUACCGAUAACCGUUUGAGAGAAGGGAUGACACAGUAGGAUAAGCUAAGCACACUGUUGGUUAUGUGUGCCCAAGCAUUGAGGCAGUCAAAGUAGGCAAAUCCGCUUUGAUAAUGCUGGGAUGUGAUGGGGAGCGAAAUUUAGUAGCGAAGUAGCUGAUUUCACACUGUCAAGAAAAGUCUCUAUCGAGGUUAAAGGUACCCGUACCGCAAACCGACACAGGUGGGUGAGGAGAGUAUCCUAAGGCCAGCGAGAGAACUGUUGUUAAGGAACUCGGCAAAAUGACCCCGUAACUUAGGGAUAAGGGGUGCCACCAUCAGGUGGCCGCAGAGAAUAGGCCCAAGCGACUGUUUACCAAAAACAUAGGUUUCUGCUAAGUCGCAAGACGAUGUAUAGGAGCUGACGCCUGCCCGGUGCUGGAAGGUUAAGGGGAUCUGUUAGAGCAAUCGAAGCAGUGAACUUAAGCCCCAGUAAACGGCGGCCGUAACUAUAACGGUCCUAAGGUAGCGAAAUUCCUUGUCGGGUAAGUUCCGACCCGCACGAAAGGCGUAACGAUUUGGGCACUGUCUCAACAACAGACUCGGUGAAAUUGUAAUUCCGGUGAAGAUGCCGGAUACCUGCGACAGGACGGAAAGACCCCAUGGAGCUUUACUGUAGCUUGACAUUGGGUCUUGGUACUACAUGUACAGGAUAGGUGGGAGGCUUUGAAACCAGGACGCCAGUUUUGGCGGAGCCAUCCUUGGGAUACCACCCUUGUAGUACUGGGACUCUAACCAUAGGCCAUGAAUCUGGUCUUGGGACACUGUCAGGUGGGCAGUUUGACUGGGGCGGUCGCCUCCCAAAAGGUAACGGAGGCGCUCAAAGGUUCUCUCAGUACGGUCGGAAAUCGUACGUAGAGUGUAAAGGCAAAAGAGAGCUUGAUUGCAAGACAUACAGGUCGAGCAAGGAUGAA